AUAAAUUGAAGGAUUUCGGCAACAGAUUUCAAAGUCUACAUCUACACGCAUCUACUAUACCUCUACUUAGCCUCAGUUGCGUACUCAGAACAUGAAUUUGAGGGAUUUCCUUUCAAGCUGCCCCGUGAAUGGAUUCGUUUGCAUGGUUUGGAUUUACCAUCUCGAUGUGAACUUCGAAUGCCGUUGGGCACAAGGUAUUCCGUCGGGUUCACAGUGAUCGAUCGCGAAUGCUACUUCGAUCGAGAUUGAUGUCUAUUCUUGCGCUACAAUCGAAUUCAGUUGACUGGCACUUUUCGUUUUGAUGAGAGUGGUUGUAUGCCCAAAUGAGAUGUAUACGAGCUUGAGUGUGUUCCCCAAGAUCCAUACCGGACACCCGACUCCCAAAGUGACGACACUGAGGAAGAUGAGACAUAUGACGUCGGAUGGCCCGUGUUCCCUCUUCCAUCGUUCAUCAUAUUGCUGCUUGGCUCAGACCCCGAACAAUUGGUUUUGUAGGAACUACCGCAUAUAUGGUGGAAAACCAACAUUGCAGACGAGAAUUCCAUACAACCUGUAACUCUCAACACGACACGCGGCUCACAUACUAUCUAUAUGAUGAUAUCGGACCAAGUAGUGAAGAUUUGCGUGGUUAGAAGAGGGCCGUUCGGGCCAAUCAUCUUCUUUUGGGAGAUGUUUGCGAAUUCGAGUUGCUUAGUACUCCAACCACCACCUUCAGGGUCAUAUUCCACAACUAGGAAGUAUUUGUAUCUGUAUUGCAUAAUACGGUUUUUUCAGUUUGAUGACUUUGCGAUUAUAUGUCAACUUUCUAAUUAUGCCAUGUUGUAGUGCUAAGUAGAAAAAAUGUACUCCCUCCGUUCUAUAGUAGUAGCGGGAUUUCUUUUAGGCACGGAGAUUAAGA